rnacentral:rRNA from 1 species
UACGGAGGUUCCUAGCGUUGUUCGGAAUUACUGGGCGUAAAGGGGGCGCAGGCGGUCCAAUAAGUCUAAAGUAGAAGCCCGGGGCUCAACCUCGGAAAGCCUUUGGAUACUGUAGGACUAGAGUUCGCGAGAGGAAAGCGGAAUUCAGGGUGUAGCGGUGAAAUGCUUAGAUAUCCUGAGGAACACCAGUGGCGAAAGCGGCUUUCUGGCGCGAAACUGACGCUGAGGCCCGAAAGCGUGGGUAGCAAACGGG